UACGUAGGGGGCUAGCGUUGUCCGGAAUCAUUGGGCGUAAAGCGCGUGUAGGCGGCCCGAUAAGUCCGCUGUGAAAGUCCAGGGCUCAACCCUGGGAUGCCGGUGGAUACUGUCGGGCUCGAGUCCGGAAGAGGCGAGUGGAAUUCCUGGUGUAGCGGUGAAAUGCGUAGAUAUCUGCAGGAACACCCGUGGCGAAAGCGGCGCGCUGGACCACUACUGACGCUGAGGAACGAAAGCUAGGGGAGCAAACAGG
rnacentral:rRNA from 1 species